CACACCGCCCGUCGCUACUACCGAUUGAACGUUUUAGUGAGAAAUCUGGAUUUGACCUCUGUGGGUUCAUUCCCACAGUGCUGUCGGAGAAGUUUUUCAAACUUGAGCGUUUAGAGGAAGUAAAAGUCGUAACAAGGUAGCUGUAGGUGAACCUGCAGCUGGAUCAUUAUUGA
rnacentral:rRNA from 2 species